rnacentral:misc_RNA from 1 species
GGAAGGAUCAUUACCAGGUGCCGUGGCCCCUCACAGGGCUUUAACGGUCGCCCCCACCCUUGCCUACUUUCCUGUUGUCCGGGCGAUUGGUUCUUGACACCUAUCGCCCGGAGGGUCACCAGAACACCCCGUGCUCCCGGCGACACAUCAAACCCUAAAGCAAAUCCCAUGUCAUCUGACAGGUAAAGCUUAAAUGGCCUUUAUGAAAACCUUCAACAACGGAUCUCUUGGUUCCGGCAUCGAUGAAGAACGCAGCGAAACGCGAUAGGUAGUGUGAAUCGCAGAACUCCGUGAGUCAUCGAAUCUUUGAACGCACAUUGCACCCUCUGGUAUUCCGGAGGGUACGCCUGUCCGAGCGUCAUUUACUCCCUUCAAGCUCAGCUUGUCAUGGCCUUCAGGUCCCCGUGUCCACCGACGCAAUGGGACCCGGCCGAAAUGUCUAGCGCCCGAACCACGACGACGGUGUCUCUGGGAACGCAGUACACCUUGUGCCGAGUGGCUUGCAUGGGUUGCAGUACAUGGUGCCUGUAAUAAGGUUCAACACGGUUGACCUCGGAUCAGGCGGGGAUACCCGCUGAACUUAAGCAUAUCAAUAAGCGGAGGAAAAGAAACCAACCGGGAUUGCCUCAGUAACGGCGAGUGAAGCGGCAGCAGCUCAAAUUUGAAAUCAGGCCGUCCUACCAGGCGGCCCGAGUUGUAAUUUGCAGAGGGUGCUUCUGGCGACGUGGCGGUUCAAGUCCCCUGGAACGGGGUGCCGCAGAGGGUGAGAGUCCCGUCUCUGACCGUACACGUUUGCCUCUGUGAAGCCCCUUCGACGAGUCGAGUUGUUUGGGAAUGCAGCUCUAAGCGGGUGGUAAAUUUCAUCUAAAGCUAAAUAUCGGCCGGAGACCGAUAGCGUACAAGUAGAGUGAUCGAAAGAUGAAAAGCACUUUGAAAAGAGAGUUAAAAAGCACGUGAAAUUGUUGAGGGGGAAGCGCUUGCCGCCAGAGUCGAUGCGGGAGGUUCCACGGGCCCUGUGGCCAGUGUACUCCUCCUACGUUGGGCCAGCAUCGGCGCGGACGGCCGGUUAAAGGCCACCGGAAUGUGAUGCCCUCCGGGGCACCUUAUAGACGGUGGCGUAAUACGGCCUGUCCGUGUCGAGGAACGCGCUUCGGCACGGAUGCUGGCGUAAUGGCGGUAAGCGACCCGUCUUGAAACACGGACCAAGGAGUCUAACAUCCACGCGAGUGUACGGGUGUCAAGCCCCUGCGCGAAGUGAAAGCGAACGGAGGUGGGAGCCUGUACGGGUGCACCAUCGACCGAUCCUGAUGUCCUCGGAUGGAUUUGAGUAAGAGCGUGGCUGUUGGGACCCGAAAGAUGGUGAACUAUGCCUGAAUAGGGUGAAGCCAGAGGAAACUCUGGUGGAGGCUCGCAGCGGUUCUGACGUGCAAAUCGAUCGUCAAAUUUGGGUAUAGGGGCGAAAGACUAAUCGAACCAUCUAGUAGCUGGUUCCUGC